UAAAGCUAUGGUCAGUACUGGAACUAC
rnacentral:piRNA from 1 species